UAGCAAGCCGUAGAAAAUUAUACAAAAAAUCUACCAAAACUGUCAGGCAAAAGCUGCCCUUAAAGCUGCCCCGGCAAUCAUGCUUGAACCUUGCGUGUAUGUCUUUUACUCGCCAUAUCAGUCAACAGAGAUCUCCGCCAUCGAAGAAGGCCGAAAGUGAGAAGCGAGAAGAGAGAGAGAAAGAGAUUUUAAUUACAUCUCUACGACCGAUGCCCGAUGUCUGUGGGUCUGUGGCAGUUUUAGCAGUGGAUAUUGGGCUGGUUGCCUGUUGCUAUGGCAAUUAUUUACAUUAACACGAUCACAACUUAGAGACACUGCACAUGCAUCAUCGUGUUGCUUUGUAGAUCGAGAUCUCUCUCAAGACUAGAGGAAGGCACCAACCCAGAGACAGAGACAGCGACAGAGUACCCAGACAACAGUCGUUCGAGUCGUCGUUGUUUUCCUGUCGCUGUCGGCGAUGUCUGUGGUGCCUGCCUGCCAGGUAUGCAUAUUAAUUUAUUGGAAUCAUGUUAGUGAGUCGAUAUUGAUACAAAUCCAUUUUCGAUCGCGUUGCCUCGAUACCAAAAAAGCGCCCGAGAACAAGCAGACAGCAGCAGCAGAUACCAAAAGGGGCUGUGGGGAGAGGUCUUCGCACACAUGCUGGGUCCCUGCCUGCAGUUGGCAGCAAACAUUACACAACAGAAGAUCAGCAGACAGAAGCCAGAACCAGCCAGCUACCUACCAAAAGUGCUCUGUGGGCAGUGGGCUGCAGGUCUUGCAGGUCUGCAUGCCUUGCAGGUCUGUCUCUUGGAUCCAAAGGUCUGUCUCUGUCGCCUGUAACCCCCCAGCGUACAUCGCAUGAUCAGCGACCGUAUUGAGCGUUAAUCGUUCGACCAUCAUGUGAUUAUAUGUGGGGUUUGCUUGGUUGGGGGAGUUUGGGUUUAGCCAUCGCCGUCAUGACAGUUUCUUCGAUCCUUCUAAAUCCUAAAAUAGGUAG
rnacentral:lncRNA from 1 species